rnacentral:rRNA from 1 species
CCUACGGGAGGCUGCAGGGAGGAAUAUUGGGCAAUGGACGGAAGUCUGAACCAGCCAGGCCGCGUGAAGGAAGACGGCUCUAUGAGUUGUAAACUGCUUUUGUACAAGGGUAAACCUGAAUACGUGUAUUCAGCUGAAUGUACCUUACGAAUAAGGAGCGGCUAACUCCGUGCCAGCAGCCGCGGUAAUACGGAGGAUCCAAGCGUUAUCCGGAUUUAUUGGGUUUAAAGGGUGCGUAGGCGGAUUGAUAAGUUAGAGGUGAAAUGUCCGAGCUUAACUCGGGAACUGCCUCUAAUACUGUUGAUCUAGAGCGUGGGUGCGGUAGGCGGAAUGUCUGGUGUAGCGGUGAAAUGCUUAGAGAUCAUGCAGAACACCGAUUGCGAAGGCAGCUUAC